rnacentral:rRNA from 1 species
UACAGAGGUCUCAAGCGUUGUUCGGAUUCAUUGGGCGUAAAGGGUGCGUAGGUGGCGCCAUAAGUCAGGUGUGAAAUCUCGGGGCUCAACCCCGAAACUGCAUUUGAUACUGUGGUGCUCGAGUACUGGAGAGGAGAUUGGAAUUUACGGUGUAGCAGUGAAAUGUGUAGAUAUCGGAAGGAACACCAGUGGCGAAGGCGGCAGCCUGGCUUUAUACUGACACUGAGGCGCGAAGGCGUGGGGAGCAAACAGG